rnacentral:rRNA from 1 species
UACCAGCACCCCGAGUGGUCGGUACGAUUAUUGGGCCUAAAGCAUCCGUAGCCGGUUCUGCAAGUCCCCCGUUAAAUCCAGCUGCUCAACAGAUGGGCCGCGGAGGAUACUCCAGAGCUAGGAGGCAGGAGAGGCAAGCGGUACUCAGUGGGUAGGGGUAAAAUCCGUUGAUCCAUUGAAGACCACCAGUGGCGAAGGCGGCUUGCCAGAAUGCGCUCGACGGUGAGGGAUGAAAGCUGGGGGAGCAAACCGG